UCCGGCUUCUCGCCGGCAGUCCCCUUCGAGUGCCCGACAUAACUCGCUGGCAACAUGGAACGAGGGUUGCGCUCGUUGCGGGACUUAACCCAACAUUUCACAACACGAGCUGACGACAGCCAUGCAGCACCUGUCUCACAGUUCCCGAAGGCACCAAUCCAUCUCUGGAAAGUUCUCGACAUGUCAAGGCCAGGUAAGGUUCUUCGCGUUGCAUCGAAUUAAACCACAUACUCCACCGCUUGUGCGGGCCCCCGUCAAUUCCUUUGAGUUUCAGUCUUGCGACCGUACUCCCCAGGCGGCGAACUUAACGCGUUAGCUUCGAUACUGCGUGCCAAAUUGCACCCAACAUCCAGUUCGCAUCGUUUAGGGCGUGGACUAC
rnacentral:misc_RNA from 1 species